rnacentral:piRNA from 1 species
UACUCGCUUGUGUAUGCGACUGUCGCGCC